GAUUAAGUUAUUAAGGGCGCACGGUGGAUGCCUUGGCACUAGAAGCCGAUGAAGGACGUUACUAACGACGAUAUGCUUUGGGUAGCUGUAAGUAAGCGUUGAUCCAGAGAUUUCCGAAUGGGGGAACCCAGCAUGAGUUAUGUCAUGUUAUCGA
rnacentral:rRNA from 1 species